UCGGGGUCGGGCGGUGCGGGGUGCUAUACAUGCAGUCGAGCGGACAGAUGGGAGCUUGCUCCCUGAUGUUAGCGGCGGACGGGUGAGUAACACGUGGGUAACCUGCCUGUAAGACUGGGAUAACUCCGGGAAACCGGGGCUAAUACCGGAUGGUUGUUUGAACCGCAUGGUUCAGACAUAAAAGGUGGCUUCGGCUACCACUUACAGAUGGACCCGCGGCGCAUUAGCUAGUUGGUGAGGUAACGGCUCACCAAGGCGACGAUGCGUAGCCGACCUGAGAGGGUGAUCGGCCACACUGGGACUGAGACACGGCCCAGACUCCUACGGGAGGCAGCAGUAGGGAAUCUUCCGCAAUGGACGAAAGUCUGACGGAGCAACGCCGCGUGAGUGAUGAAGGUUUUCGGAUCGUAAAGCUCUGUUGUUAGGGAAGAACAAGUGCCGUUCAAAUAGGGCGGCACCUUGACGGUACCUAACCAGAAAGCCACGGCUAACUACGUGCCAGCAGCCGCGGUAAUACGUAGGUGGCAAGCGUUGUCCGGAAUUAUUGGGCGUAAAGGGCUCGCAGGCGGUUUCUUAAGUCUGAUGUGAAUGUCCCCGGCUCAACCGGGUAGGGACAUUGGAAACUGGGGAACUUGAUUGCAUAAGAGGAUUGUGGAAUUCUUCGUGUACGGCAAAAUGG
rnacentral:rRNA from 1 species